rnacentral:rRNA from 1 species
UACGUAGGGGGCAAGCGUUGUCCGGAAUCAUUGGGCGUAAAGAGCGUGUAGGCGGUCCGGUCAGUCGGUUGUGAAAGUCAAGGGCUCAACCCUUGAAUGCCGGCCGAUACUGCCGGGCUAGAGUCCGGAAGAGGUGAGUGGAAUUCCUGGUGUAGCGGUGAAAUGCGCAGAUAUCAGGAGGAACACCGAUGGCGAAGGCGACUCACUGGCCCGAUACUGACGCUGAGGCGCGAAAGCGUGGGGAGCAAACAGG